UACGUAGGAGGCGAGCGUUGUCCGGAUUUACUGGGCGUAAAGCGCGCGCAGGCGGCACGCUAAGUAUGGUGUGAAAUCUCCCUGCUCAACGGGGAGGGAGCAUUGUAAACUAGCGAGCUAGAGGACGGUAGAGGGGGGUAGAAUUGCUGGUGUAGCGGUGAAAUGCGUAGAUAUCAAGAGGAACACCAGUGGCGAAGGCGAGUCCCUGGACAAAUCCUGACACUGAGGCACGAAAGCUAGGGGAGCAAACAGG
rnacentral:rRNA from 1 species